rnacentral:misc_RNA from 1 species
UUGAGUUGAGUUGAGUUAAGUUGUGAUGCAACAGCUGUACCACAGCUGGAAAAAUGUUAUCCUCUUUGGAAACCAAAGGCAAAAAUUUUGGUCUAAGAAUAAGUGUACUUGGUAGCUAGCAUAUUUGAUUUUUAGGGAUUGUUAAAUUCAUAAGUUAUUAUUGGGUUAGAAUCUUUCUAGUUAGAUCCUAAACCUAGUACGAGUAGGAUUAGUUAUAAGCAUAUAAAUAUCUCUUUGAUUUGGUUAUUUUCUUAUGCUUUCAUUAUUGAAAUUACAAUAAGUAUUUUCUUAUGCUAUUUAGCAGGAUACUCCAUUUAUCUUUCUGUUUUUCUGAUUUGAUAUCCUAUUUUCUUCUCUUUUACUCUGUCCUACAUAGCUUUGACAAUGUGGGGCUAAAAUAUCAGUAUACCCAAGCAACAGCAUAAAUGGAUUAGAUCAUUUGCAGGAAGAUAGUGACCAGAACAAGGAUAAACCUAGAAAACAAGAGCUAGCACCAUUAAGUGAGAGAACAAACAACAUUAUUAUUACAGCAAAUAAAUAAAUUCAAAAUGGCAAUAACUAAGAAAACUAGUAAUGACGUAAAAAGAAAACCCAAAAUCCUGAAUGAGGAGUUCAAACGACAUUUUGUGAUGUGGGGAUUUGUCAAAUCUGCAAUGAAAAAACAGGAAUACAAUUUAAAAAACAUUUCUUUAGGAAGGAGACCACUAGACUUGAAUAUUAUAGCAGACUAAUAGCAAAGAGUCGAUUGAAAAUAAAAUGUAGACUUGAAGAUUAUAGCUUUAAUCUUUCCAGUUAUUCUUUGAAUUUAUAGAGAAGGAAUAGGGAAGCGUUUUUAGUAUAACAAGUAAUUUAACAGAAUUAUGAUAAAAAGAUCACAAAAUGCACAAUUAAAAUUUAUUUGGA